GCAAAAGCCUGUAUUUCCUAAGUAUUUCAGACAAUCCAAAUAUUUCAUCAAAGAUCACUUCUGAAAACUGGAUCAGCCCUGGGGGUUAAUUUCUCAUAAAGCUACGUUGCUAAGUUUUUUUUUAAAUACCCAGGCGAACAUGCUGAGUCUCAGCCUAGAGUGGAGAGCCCAGGGCGGGAAAGUUCCCGAGGGUCACAGCCCUCCGCGAGGUCUGCUCGGCGGAGCCCCGGCUGGAGCACCGGGGAUCAAGGAGGCCCGAAGCAGCGCAGGACAUCGCGUGGCCCCGGGAAGCCGCGGCCGCGCCGGGAGCCUCUCCGGGUUGCCGGCUGCCGAGUCAGCCGCUUCCUGCCGCGGGGUCCGGAGAGAGCCGCGCUCCGCGCCACCAGCCAGCCCGUCCGACCGACCGCCCGCCCGCCCGCCCGCCCAGGAUGCGCUCGCCUGCCAGGGAAGCGCUCACACCUCGCACAAAAGGCGCCGCGGCGGGACGGCGGGGAGUAGGCGACCGCUGCCUCCCGGAACUUUGCGGACAUCGCACCGCAGCUCCACAGCUCCGAGCCCCCGGCGCAGGAGGAGGCCGAGGCGGCGGCGGAGAGUCGGGGCAUCGCCCGGCAGUGCCUCCGCCUUGCCGGCUGCCGGCGGCUCCCGCCCCCGGUUAACCAGCGCUCGCUCUUAAAGGCGCCCGCUGCUGGUUAGGCCGCGAGAGCUAGAAUGGAGAAGUUGAUGUUUCCUACCCAAAGUACCAGCUUUCCCACUGGGAAGAUAGCUCAGUGGGUAAAGCUGAUUGCCACCCAAGUCCAAUGACCUGAGUUUGAGUCCCCAGGAUGAUGGACAAACUAACUCCCCCAAAUGGCUCUUUGACCACCACACAGCAGCCUCAACAUGAAUGAACCCCCCCACACACACACAUACACACACACAGAGAAUGUAAUAAAAUUAAAAUAUGUUAACUUCCGCUUGUUUCUUCCCACAUAGGAAACUUUCUAAUUGUCACAGAUCUAAACCAUUUCAUAUUUUUCUUUUCACUUGUAAGUGUUAUAGGAUUCCUGACAUAUCAUAUCUAUAACUCUAGAAGAGACUUUAGAACAACCUAAAACUUCCCUUUCAUUUAAGGAAUAAAGAAAUGAAAUUUCAACAUCUGACUUGCUGGGGCCACACAGCUGUUCUCAGCUUCAGUUGUGUGCCUGCUUCUAAAUGUACAGGAGCAGUGAUGGAGAAUAUGGCCACAGUCCCCAUGAAAGUAGAUUGAGCUGCGGAGAGAUGACCCUCCAGUGGGGGGGCGGGGGGAUCACAAAGCAUCAUGUGUCAUAUAAUUUGGUGUAAAAACAAAUGAUGAGGGGAGAUGGCUCUAUCAGUAAAGCACCUGCCAUGCAUACAUGAAUUCCAAUUCUUAGCCAGGCAUGGCAGAACCAACCCAGAACUCAGCAAUGGAGAGCAGAAAUAGGAGGACCUCUGGAGCUUGUCAGUGAGACAGUCUAAAGGAAUAGGUGAGCUCCAGGUUCCAUAGGAUAACCUAUCUAAAAAAUAUGGUGGGGAAUGAUUAAGAGUCCUGAUGUGACCUGGUCUCCUCAUGCACACAUGUGCACACACUCAGACAUGUUCACACACAUAUGAUAAGAAUAGGCCUCAAAGUAAGUGCUAGAGAUGGGAGUCAUCUUGAAAGUGCUUUUGGUUUGGGGUUGUUUGUUUGUUUGUUUGUUUGUUUGUUUGUUUUGCUUGUGUGUUUGUUUGUUUUUAAAGAAAGUAAAGACAUACAACGGCAAGAAACACUGAAGUAUAUACAUAAAUGGGAAAGCCUUGGUGGGGAAAAGGUAUUGCCUUUUGUUGGAAUAGAAAAGAGCCCUGGAUUUUCAUGGCUUAGAAAAAAGUCUCUAAUAGCCCCAAUAUCAUUUUGCUAUAUAUAAAUCUGUAUCAUUUUCUCUGUUUGUGUUAGAGGCAAAGUACAGAUCAGGAGUCUCACCUCCUAUAUGCACUAAGCAAGUGCUCUACCACACGGCUAAAUGCCUAGACUCUAUCAUUAUUGUUUUAAUUAGACAAAGUAAAAACCUGUGUACUCCUUUAAAACAUUUAUUCAUUUUUAGAUAUCACUUGUCAGUACUUUCCAUCAUGUAUGUUUGGAGUGAUGUAAUUGCUGUCUUACUUUCAGUCAUGUUCAAAGUAAGUUCAAAAAGCCUUGUUUCCGAACCCAAAUAGACUAGAUACUAAACUACUUUUCUGGCAAGAUAUUAAGCAAAUAGUGUCUUUCUAAAAAUCAGUUUCUCGCUAGGUAAGUCGGCACAUUGCUUUUGUGUGGGGGCUAAUGGAGGAGGAUCGUGAGUUCUAGGACAGCUGGAGCAACAUGCCAAGUCCCUGUCUCAAAGGAAGGAAAAGAAACCAGUUUCUACGUGUACCCAAGGUUUACAGCAUAGCGAGAUACACAUGGUAAGGCCUACAAAUGGUUCUUCAAAUUUGUAGAUAAAUUGAAAUUUCUCAGCUCUGACUACACAUUAGAAUCACCAUAUAGCUUGCUAAAAGUAGCACCUGGGACCCACCCUCAGGGAAGCCAGACAGAAAUGAAACGGAAGGUCCUCGGUGAUUCUGAUCGCCAUGACUGGGAGCCCCGGGAUGUCCACACAGCAGAGUUCGUGUAGACCUGGGUGGGAAGCAUGAUGGUAUGUGUGCUCUUUCUUCCAUACGCACAAUGAUCCUGACUGAUCUUUCUGGAUUCGCAGUGGUGCUAUAGAGCAUGGCAGGCAGGUGAUAGACUUCUAACUGCUUUCUGCUCUGCCUUGCCCCUGAAACAUUCCCAACUGUGGUGGAGACUGCAUGUGGUUUAUCUCAGUCGGCAGCACAGCCUGAUUCCUAAGUCAUACUCUCUCCUGUGCCUUUCUGCACGCGCAAUGUAUAGGCAGUCAUCAGCACACGGCAGUCUCUGGACAAGUGAGAAGGGAAGAAAACACCACCGAAGAGUUCCUCAAGAAGAGGUCUAGAAGCAAGAAGCAAGUGGUUUUGGAUCCCUGGAU
ensembl:processed_transcript C230012O17Rik RIKEN cDNA C230012O17 gene